rnacentral:rRNA from 1 species
UACGUAGGCAGCGAGCGUUGUUCGGAGUUACUGGGCGUAAAGGGUGUGUAGGCGGUUGUUUAAGUUUGGUGUGAAAUCUCCCGGCUCAACUGGGAGGGUGCGCCGAAUACUGGAUGACUUGAGUUCGGGAGAGGGAUGCGGAAUUCCAGGUGUAGCGGUGAAAUGCGUAGAUAUCUGGAGGAACACCGGUGGCGAAGGCGGCAUCCUGGACCGACACUGACGCUGAGGAGCGAAAGCCAGGGGAGCAAACGGG